rnacentral:rRNA from 1 species
GCUAGCGUUGUUCGGAAUUACUGGGCGUAAAGAGUGCGUAGGUGGUUUAGUAAGUUGGAAGUGAAAGCCCGGGGCUUAACCUCGGAAUAGCUUUCAAAACUACUAAUCUAGAGUGUAGUAGGGGAUGAUGGAAUUCCUAGUGUAGAGGUGAAAUUCUUAGAUAUUAGGAGGAACACCGGUGGCGAAGGCGGUCAUCUGGGCUACAACUGACACUGAUGCACGAAAGCGUGGGGAGCAAACAGG